rnacentral:rRNA from 1 species
UACGUAGGGGGCAAGCGUUGUCCGGAAUUACUGGGCGUAAAGGGCUCGUAGGCGGCCAACUAAGUCGGAUGUGAAAUCCCCAGGCUUAACCUGGGAACUGCAUCCGAUACUGGAUGGCUUGAAUCCGGGAGAGGGAUGCAGAAUUCCAGGUGUAGCGGUGAAAUGCGUAGAUAUCUGGAGGAAUACCGGUGGCGAAGGCGGCAUCCUGGACCGGCAUUGACGCUGAUGAGCGAAAGCUAGGGGAGCAAACGGG